rnacentral:rRNA from 1 species
CCAGACUCCUACGGGAGGCAGCAGUGGGGGAUAUUGCACAAUGGGGGGAACCCUGAUGCAGCGACGCCGCGUGGGUGAAGGAGUGCUUCGGCAUGUAAAGCCCUAUCGGCAGGGAAGAAGCAAGACGGUACCUGACUAAGAAGCCCCGGCUAACUACGUGCCAGCAGCCGCGGUAAUACGUAGGGGGCAAGCGUUAUCCGGAUUUACUGGGUGUAAAGGGGGCGCAGACGGCAGCGCAAGCCAGGAGUGAAAGCCCGGGGCCCAACCCCGGGACUGCUCUUGGAACUGCGGCGCUGGAGUACGGGAGGGGCAGGCGGAAUUCCUGGUGUAGCGGUGAAAUGCGUAGAUAUCAGGAGGAACACCGGUGGCGAAGGCGGCCUGCUGGACUGCGACUGACGUUGAGGCCCGAAAGCGUGGGGAGCAAACAGGAUUAGAUACCCCGGUA